AAAUGAAUUGACGGGAGCCCGCACAAGCAGUGGAGUAUGUGGAUUAAUUCGACGCAACGCGAAGAACCUUACCAGAAUUUGACAUCCCAAGAAGUCGGCGUAAUGGCUGAUGUGCCCUUCGGGGAACUUGGAGACAGGUGGUGCAUGGUUGUCGUCAGCUCGUGUCGUGAGAUGUUGGGUUAAGUCCCGCAACGAGCGCAACCCUUACUGUUAGUUGCUACGCAAGAGCACUCUAACAGGACUGCCGUUGACAAAACGGAGGAAGGUGGGGACGACGUCAAAUCAUCAUGCCCCUUACGUUCUGGGCUUCACACGUACUACAAUGGCGUAAACAAAGGGGAGCAAUGUCGCGAGACGGAGCAAAUCCCAAAAUAACGUCCCAGUUCAGAUUGUAGGCUGCAACUCGCCUGCAUGAAGCUGGAAUUGCUAGUAAUCGCGGAUCAGCAUGCCGCGGUGAAUACGUUCCCGGGCUUUGUACACACCGCCCGU
rnacentral:rRNA from 1 species